CAUGUACUAUCCAAGGCCAUUGUAACAAUGGUCAAAAGCUAAGUGUUAAGGUCGUUUCCGCUUCUUCAUCACCUGCUCCAGCUCAAGGUCCUUCUCCUCCUUCUUCGACUACUCCUUCACCUACUCCUCCUUCAUCAGGAACCACACCUACUCCUCCUUCUCCUACUCCACCUGUCAGUGGAGAUACACCAUCCCCAUCAUCUCCAGCUCAGCCAGGCGCGACUCCUCCAUCACCUGGCUCAGCCACUUCUCUCGUU
rnacentral:lncRNA from 1 species